rnacentral:rRNA from 1 species
UCCCAGACUCCUACGGGAGGCAGCAGUGGGGGAUAUUGCACAAUGGGGGGAACCCUGAUGCAGCGACGCCGCGUGGGUGAAGGAGCACCUCGGUGCGUAAAGCCCUCUCGGCAGGGAAGAAACAGACGGUACCUGACUAAGAAGCCCCGGCUAACUACGUGCCAGCAGCCGCGGUAAUACGUAGGGGGCAAGCGUUAUCCGGAUUUACUGGGGGUAAAGGGAGCGCAGACGGCAGUGCAAGUCUGGAGUGAAAGCCCGGGGCCCAACCCCGGAACUGCUCUGGAAACUGUGCGGCUAGAGUACUGGAGGGGCAGGCGGAAUUCCUAGUGUAGCGGUGAAAUGCGUAGAUAUUAGGAGGAACACCAGUGGCGAAGGCGGGCUGCUGGACAGCAACUGACGCUGAGGCGCGAAAGCGUGGGGAGCAAACAGGAUUAGAUACCCCCGUACA